GGGAGUAUAGCUGAGUGGUAGGGCGCUUGCCUUUGCUCAAGACCCCGGGUUCUAUCCCCAGCACUCCCA
rnacentral:tRNA from 1 species